GGGUUUGUGGCGUAGUGGUUAUCGCGUCUGUUUUACACACAGAAGGUCGCAGGUUCGAUCCCUGCCAAGCUCA
rnacentral:tRNA from 1 species